UACCGAGUUUACAACUCCCAAACCCAAUGUGAACGUUACCAAACUGUUGCCUCGGCGGGAUCUCUGCCCCGGGUGCGUCGCAGCCCCGGACCAAGGCGCCCGCCGGAGGACCAACCUAAAACUCUUAUUGUAUACCCCCUCGCGGGUUUUUUUUAUAAUCUGAGCCUUCUCGGCGCCUCUCGUAGGCGUUUCGAAAAUGAAUCAAAACUUUCAACAACGGAUCUCUUGGUUCUGGCAUCGAUGAAGAACGCAGCGAAAUGCGAUAAGUAAUGUGAAUUGCAGAAUUCAGUGAAUCAUCGAAUCUUUGAACGCACAUUGCGCCCGCCAGUAUUCUGGCGGGCAUGCCUGUCCGAGCGUCAUUUCAACCCUCGAACCCCUCCGGGGGGUCGGCGUUGGGGAUCGGCCCUCCCUUAGCGGGUGGCCGUCUCCGAAAUACAGUGGCGGUCUCGCCGCAGCCUCUCCUGCGCAGUAGUUUGCACACUCGCAUCGGGAGCGCGGCGCGUCCACAGCCGUUAAACACCCAACUUCUGAAAUGUUGACCUCGGAUCAGGUAGGAAUACCCGCUGAACUUAAGCAUAUCAAUAAGCGGAGGA
rnacentral:rRNA from 1 species